AGUGAACGCUGGCGGUAGGCCUAACACAUGCAAGUCGAACGGCAGCACAGGAGAGCUUGCUCUCUGGGUGGCGAGUGGCGGACGGGUGAGGAAUACAUCGGAAUCUACUCUGUCGUGGGGGAUAACGUAGGGAAGCUUACGCUAAUACCGCAUACGACCUUCGGGUGAAAGCAGAGGAUCUUCGGAACUUGAGCGAUUGAAUGAGCCGAUGUCGGAUUAGCUAGUUGGCGGGGUAAAGGCCCACCAAGGCGACGAUCCGUAGCUGGUCUGAGAGGAUGAUCAGCCACACUGGAACUGAGACACGGUCCAGACUCCUACGGGAGGCAGCAGUGGGGAAUAUUGGACAAUGGGCGCAAGCCUGAUCCAGCCAUACCGCGUGGGUGAAGAAGGCCUUCGGGUUGUAAAGCCCUUUUGUUGGGAAAGAAAUCCAGCUGGCUAAUACCCGGUUGGGAUGACGGUACCCAAAGAAUAAGCACCGGCUAACUUCGUGCCAGCAGCCGCAGUAA
rnacentral:rRNA from 1 species